rnacentral:rRNA from 1 species
GAUGAACGCUAGCUACAGGCUUAACACAUGCAAGUCGAGGGGAAACGACAUCGAAAGCUUGCUUUUGAUGGGCGUCGACCGGCGCACGGGUGAGUAACGCGUAUCCAACCUGCCCACCACUUGGGGAUAACCUUGCGAAAGUAAGACUAAUACCCAAUGACGUCUCUAGAAGACAUCUGAAAGAGAUUAAAGAUUUAUCGGUGAUGGAUGGGGAUGCGUCUGAUUAGCUUGUUGGCGGGGUAACGGCCCACCAAGGCGACGAUCAGUAGGGGUUCUGAGAGGAAGGUCCCCACAUUGGAACUGAGACACGGUCCAAACUCCUACGGGAGGCAGCAGUGAGGAAUAUUGGUCAAUGGACGAGAGUCUGAACCAGCCAAGUAGCGUGCAGGAUGACGGCCCUAUGGGUUGUAAACUGCUUUUAUAAGGGAAUAAAGUGAGUCUCGUGAGACUUUUUGCAUGUACCUUAUGAAUAAGGACCGGCUAAUUCCGUG